UACGUAGGGGGCAAGCGUUGUCCGGAUUUAUUGGGCGUAAAGAGCGUGUAGGCGGCCUGAAAGGUCAGCUGUGAAAACUCGAGGCUCAACCUCGAGACGUCGGUUGAAACCAUCUGGCUAGAGUCCGGAUGAGGAGUGUGGAAUUCCCGGUGUAGCGGUGAAAUGCGCAGAUAUCGGGAAGAACACCCGUGGCGAAGGCGGCACUCUGGGACGGUACUGACGCUGAGACGCGAAAGCGUGGGGAGCGAACAGG
rnacentral:rRNA from 1 species